GCCAGAGGAUGCAAGCGUUAUCCGGAAUGAUUGGGCGUAAAGCGUCCGCAGGUGGCAGUUCAAGUCUGCUGUCAAAGACCGGGGCUUAACUUCGGAAAGGCAGUGGAAACUGAACAGCUAGAGUAUGGUAGGGGCAGAGGGAAUUCCUGGUGUAGCGGUGAAAUGCGUAGAGAUCAGGAAGAACAUCGGUGGCGAAGGCGCUCUGCUGGACCAUAACUGACACUCAGGGACGAAAGCUAGGGGAGCGAAUGGG
rnacentral:rRNA from 1 species